rnacentral:rRNA from 1 species
UACGGGGGGAGCAAGCGUUGUUCGGAUUUACUGGGCGUAAAGGGCGCGUAGGCGGCCAGCACAAGUCAGUUGUGAAAUCUCCGAGCUUAACUCGGAAAGGUCAACUGAUACUGUGCGGCUAGAGUCCGGAAGGGGCGAGUGGAAUUCCUGGUGUAGCGGUGAAAUGCGCAGAUAUCAGGAGGAACACCUAUGGCGAAGGCAGCUCGCUGGGACGGUACUGACGCUGAGGCGCGAAAGCGUGGGGAGCGAACAGG